rnacentral:sRNA from 1 species
GCUGGGCACAGUGAUGCAUGCCUGUAAUCCCAGCAGCUGGGAGGUUGAGGCAGGAAGAUCAUGAGUUCAAAGCCACCCUCAGCAAAAGUGAGGCACUGAGCAACUCAGAUCCUGUCUCCA